AUGAAUAAACUUGGUCAAGCUGUUGCUGGUUCUUCGGAACAUGUGCACGCUUGCCACCAAUUUUAACCACCUGUGCACCUUUUGUAGACUGGAAACGUUUCUCGAGGCAACUCGGAUUGAGAACUGCUGCGCGCAAGCUGGCUGUUCUUGUGUUUCUCAGUCUAUGUUUUCAUAUACUCCUAAUGUAUGUCUCUGAAUGUAUUGCUAGGCCUUAGUGCCUUUAAAAACAAAUA
rnacentral:misc_RNA from 1 species